rnacentral:rRNA from 1 species
UCCAGAGGGUGCGAUCGUUAAUCGGAAUUACUGGGCGUAAAGCGUGCGUAGACGGUCAUGUAAGUCGGGUGUGAAAUCCCCGGGCUCAACCUGGGAAUUGCAUUCGAGACUGCGUGGCUAGGGUGCGGAAGGGGGAAGCGGAAUUUCCGGUGUAGCGGUGAAAUGCGUAGAUAUCGGAAGGAACAUCAGUGGCGAAAGCGGCUUCCUGGUCCAGCACCGACGUUCAGGCACGAAAGCGUGGGGAGCAAACAGG